rnacentral:rRNA from 1 species
AGCGUGGAGACAGGUGGUGCAUGGCUGUCGUCAGCUCGUGUCGUGAGAUGUUGGGUUAAGUCCCGCAACGAGCGCAACCUUCACCUCUUGUUGCCAUCAGGUCAUGCUGGGCACUCUAGAGGAACUGCCCCGGUCAACGGGGAGGAAGGCGGGGAUGACGUCAAGUCAUCAUGCCCCUUACGUCCUGGGCUACACACGUGCUACAAUGGCCGGUACAAAGGGAUGCAAGACCGUGAGGUGGAGCUAAACCCAAAAAGCCGGUCUAAGUUCAGAUUGGAGUCUGCAACUCGACUCCAUGAAGGAGGAAUCGCUAGUAAUCGCGCAUCAGCACGGCGCGGUGAAUACGUUCCCGGGCCUUGUACACACCGCCCGUCACACCACGAAAGCCAGCUGUACUCGAAGUCGCUGAG